rnacentral:rRNA from 1 species
GACGAACGCUGGCGGCGUGCUUAACACAUGCAAGUCGAACGGAAAGGCCCCUUCGGGGGUCCUCGAGUGGCGAACGGGUGAGUAACACGUGAGUAACCUGCCCUUGACUUCGGGAUAACUUCAGGAAACUGGGGCUAAUACCGGAUAGGAAUCCUUGCUGCAUGGUGGGGGUUGGAAAGCUUCGGCGGUUUUGGAUGGACUCGCGGCUUAUCAGCUUGUUGGUGGGGUAGUGGCUUACCAAGGCCUUGACGGGUAGCCGGCCUGAGAGGGCGACCGGCCUCAGUGGGACUGAGAUACGGCCCAGACUCCUACGGGAGGCAGCAGUGGGGAAUAUUGCACAAUGGGCGGAAGCCUGAUGCAGCAACGCCGCGUGCGGGAUGACGGCCUUCGGGUUGUAAACCGCUUUCAGCAGGGGCGAAGCUUGUGGUGACGGUACCUGCAGAAGAAGCACCGGCUAACUACGUG